GUGUUAUAUGAAAGAAGUUUAGCCCUUCCCUUGACGAGGAUGGAAGAGGUGCUCUGGACUUAAAAAAGAAAAAAAGAAAAAAAAAAAAGAGGAACCAGUCUCUACCUUGACUUUCAUUGU